rnacentral:rRNA from 1 species
AGAGUUUGAUCCUGGCUCAGGACGAACGCUGGCGGCGUGCCUAAUACAUGCAAGUCGAACGAACUCUGGUAUUGAUUGGUGCUUGCAUCAUGAUUUACAUUUGAGUGAGUGGCGAACUGGUGAGUAACACGUGGGAAACCUGCCCAGAAGCGGGGGAUAACACCUGGAAACAGAUGCUAAUACCGCAUAACAACUUGGACCGCAUGGUCCGAGCUUGAAAGAUGGCUUCGGCUAUCACUUUUGGAUGGUCCCGCGGCGUAUUAGCUAGAUGGUGGGGUAACGGCUCACCAUGGCAAUGAUACGUAGCCGACCUGAGAGGGUAAUCGGCCACAUUGGGACUGAGACACGGCCCAAACUCCUACGGGAGGCAGCAGUAGGGAAUCUUCCACAAUGGACGAAAGUCUGAUGGAGCAACGCCGCGUGAGUGAAGAAGGGUUUCGGCUCGUAAAACUCUGUUGUUAAAGAAGAACAUAUCUGAGAGUAACUGUUCAGGUAUUGACGGUAUUUAACCAGAAAGCCACGGCUAACUACGUGCCAGCAGCCGCGGUAAUACGUAGGUGGCAAGCGUUGUCCGGAUUUAUUGGGCGUAAAGCGAGCGCAGGCGGUUUUUUAAGUCUGAUGUGAAAGCCUUCGGCUCAACCGAAGAAGUGCAUCGGAAACUGGGAAACUUGAGUGCAGAAGAGGACAGUGGAACUCCAUGUGUAGCGGUGAAAUGCGUAGAUAUAUGGAAGAACACCAGUGGCGAAGGCGGCUGUCUGGUCUGUAACUGACGCUGAGGCUCGAAAGUAUGGGUAGCAAACAGGAUUAGAUACCCUGGUAGUCCAUACCGUAAACGAUGAAUGCUAAGUGUUGGAGGGUUUCCGCCCUUCAGUGCUGCAGCUAACGCAUUAAGCAUUCCGCCUGGGGAGUACGGCCGCAAGACUGAAACUCAAAGGAAUUGACGGGGGCCCGCACAAGCGGUGGAGCAUGUGGUUUAAUUCGAAGCUACGCGAAGAACCUUACCAGGUCUUGACAUACUAUGCAAAUCUAAGAGAUUAGACGUUCCCUUCGGGGACAUGGAUACAGGUGGUGCAUGGUUGUCGUCAGCUCGUGUCGUGAGAUGUUGGGUUAAGUCCCGCAACGAGCGCAACCCUUAUUAUCAGUUGCCAGCAUUAAGUUGGGCACUCUGGUGAGACUGCCGGUGACAAACCGGAGGAAGGUGGGGAUGACGUCAAAUCAUCAUGCCCCUUAUGACCUGGGCUACACACGUGCUACAAUGGAUGGUACAACGAGUUGCGAACUCGCGAGAGUAAGCUAAUCUCUUAAAGCCAUUCUCAGUUCGGAUUGUAGGCUGCAACUCGCCUACAUGAAGUCGGAAUCGCUAGUAAUCGCGGAUCAGCAUGCCGCGGUGAAUACGUUCCCGGGCCUUGUACACACCGCCCGUCACACCAUGAGAGUUUGUAACACCCAAAGUCGGUGGGGUAACCUUUUAGGAACCAGCCGCCUAAGGUGGGACAGAUGAUUAGGGUG